rnacentral:rRNA from 1 species
AGCGUACACGGUGGAUGCCCUGGCAGUCAGAGGCGAUGAAGGACGUGCUAAUCUGCGAUAAGCGUCGGUAAGGUGAUAUGAACCGUUAUAACCGGCGAUUUCCGAAUGGGGAAACCCAGUGUGAUUCGUCACACUAUCAUUAACUGAAUCCAUAGGUUAAUGAGGCGAACCGGGGGAACUGAAACAUCUAAGUACCCCGAGGAAAAGAAAUCAACCGAGAUUCCCCCAGUAGCGGCGAGCGAACGGGGAGCAGCCCAGAGCCUGAAUCAGUGUGUGUGUUAGUGGAAGCGUCUGGAAAGGCGCGCGAUACAGGGUGACAGCCCCGUACACAAAAAUGCACAUGCUGUGAGCUCGAUGAGUAGGGCGGGACACGUGGUAUCCUGUCUGAAUAUGGGGGGACCAUCCUCCAAGGCUAAAUACUCCUGACUGACCGAUAGUGAACCAGUACCGUGAGGGAAAGGCGAAAAGAACCCCGGCGAGGGGAGUGAAAAAGAACCUGAAACCGUGUACGUACAAGCAGUGGGAGCACGCUUAGGCGUGUGACUGCGUACCUUUUGUAUAAUGGGUCAGCGACUUAUAUUCUGUAGCAAGGUUAACCGAAUAGGGGAGCCGAAGGGAAACCGAGUCUUAACUGGGCGUUAAGUUGCAGGGUAUAGACCCGAAACCCGGUGAUCUAGCCAUGGGCAGGUUGAAGGUUGGGUAACACUAACUGGAGGACCGAACCGACUAAUGUUGAAAAAUUAGCGGAUGACUUGUGGCUGGGGGUGAAAGGCCAAUCAAACCGGGAGAUAGCUGGUUCUCCCCGAAAGCUAUUUAGGUAGCGCCUCGUGAAUUCAUCUCCGGGGGUAGAGCACUGUUUCGGCAAGGGGGUCAUCCCGACUUACCAACCCGAUGCAAACUGCGAAUACCGGAGAAUGUUAUCACGGGAGACACACGGCGGGUGCUAACGUCCGUCGUGAAGAGGGAAACAACCCAGACCGCCAGCUAAGGUCCCAAAGUCAUGGUUAAGUGGGAAACGAUGUGGGAAGGCCCAGACAGCCAGGAUGUUGGCUUAGAAGCAGCCAUCAUUUAAAGAAAGCGUAAUAGCUCACUGGUCGAGUCGGCCUGCGCGGAAGAUGUAACGGGGCUAAACCAUGCACCGAAGCUGCGGCAGCGACACUAUGUGUUGUUGGGUAGGGGAGCGUUCUGUAAGCCUGUGAAGGUGUACUGUGAGGUAUGCUGGAGGUAUCAGAAGUGCGAAUGCUGACAUAAGUAACGAUAAAGCGGGUGAAAAGCCCGCUCGCCGGAAGACCAAGGGUUCCUGUCCAACGUUAAUCGGGGCAGGGUGAGUCGACCCCUAAGGCGAGGCCGAAAGGCGUAGUCGAUGGGAAACAGGUUAAUAUUCCUGUACUUGGUGUUACUGCGAAGGGGGGACGGAGAAGGCUAUGUUGGCCGGGCGACGGUUGUCCCGGUUUAAGCGUGUAGGCUGGUUUUCCAGGCAAAUCCGGAAAAUCAAGGCUGAGGCGUGAUGACGAGGCACUACGGUGCUGAAGCAACAAAUGCCCUGCUUCCAGGAAAAGCCUCUAAGCAUCAGGUAACAUCAAAUCGUACCCCAAACCGACACAGGUGGUCAGGUAGAGAAUACCAAGGCGCUUGAGAGAACUCGGGUGAAGGAACUAGGCAAAAUGGUGCCGUAACUUCGGGAGAAGGCACGCUGAUAUGUAGGUGAAGNUGGAGCUGAAAUCAGUCGAAGAUACCAGCUGGCUGCAACUGUUUAUUAAAAACACAGCACUGUGCAAACACGAAAGUGGACGUAUACGGUGUGACGCCUGCCCGGUGCCGGAAGGUUAAUUGAUGGGGUCAGCGCAAGCGAAGCUCUUGAUCGAAGCCCCGGUAAACGGCGGCCGUAACUAUAACGGUCCUAAGGUAGCGAAAUUCCUUGUCGGGUAAGUUCCGACCUGCACGAAUGGCGUAAUGAUGGCCAGGCUGUCUCCACCCGAGACUCAGUGAAAUUGAACUCGCUGUGAAGAUGCAGUGUACCCGCGGCAAGACGGAAAGACCCCGUGAACCUUUACUAUAGCUUGACACUGAACAUUGAGCCUUGAUGUGUAGGAUAGGUGGGAGGCUUUGAAGUGUGGACGCCAGUCUGCAUGGAGCCGACCUUGAAAUACCACCCUUUAAUGUUUGAUGUUCUAACGUUGACCCGUAAUCCGGGUUGCGGACAGUGUCUGGUGGGUAGUUUGACUGGGGCGGUCUCCUCCUAAAGAGUAACGGAGGAGCACGAAGGUUGGCUAAUCCUGGUCGGACAUCAGGAGGUUAGUGCAAUGGCAUAAGCCAGCUUGACUGCGAGCGUGACGGCGCGAGCAGGUGCGAAAGCAGGUCAUAGUGAUCCGGUGGUUCUGAAUGGAAGGGCCAUCGCUCAACGGAUAAAAGGUACUCCGGGGAUAACAGGCUGAUACCGCCCAAGAGUUCAUAUCGACGGCGGUGUUUGGCACCUCGAUGUCGGCUCAUCACAUCCUGGGGCUGAAGUAGGUCCCAAGGGUAUGGCUGUUCGCCAUUUAAAGUGGUACGCGAGCUGGGUUUAGAACGUCGUGAGACAGUUCGGUCCCUAUCUGCCGUGGGCGCUGGAGAACUGAGGGGGGCUGCUCCUAGUACGAGAGGACCGGAGUGGACGCAUCACUGGUGUUCGGGUUGUCAUGCCAAUGGCACUGCCCGGUAGCUAAAUGCGGAAGAGAUAAGUGCUGAAAGCAUCUAAGCACGAAACUUGCCCCGAGAUGAGUUCUCCCUGACUCCUUGA